rnacentral:rRNA from 1 species
AUUGAACGCUGGCGGCAGGCCUAACACAUGCAAGUCGGACGGUAGCACAGAGGAGCCUGCUCCUCGGGUGACGAGUGGCGGACGGGUGAGUAAUGUCUGGGGAUCUGCCCGAUAGAGGGGGAUAACCACUGGAAACGGUGGCUAAUACCGCAUAACGUCGCAAGACCAAAGAGGGGGACCUUCGGGCCUCUCACUAUCGGAUGAACCCAGAUGGGAUUAGCUAGUAGGCGGGGUAACGGCCCACCUAGGCGACGAUCCCUAGCUGGUCUGCGGGGAUGACCAGCCACACUGGAACUGAGACACGGUCCAGAGUCCUACGGGAGGCAGCAGUGGGGAAUAUUGCACAAUGGGCGCAAGCCUGAUGCAGCCAUGCCGCGUGUAUGAAGAAGGCCUUCGGGUUGUAAAGUACUUUCAGCGGGGAGGAAGGCGAUGUGGUUAAUAACCGCAUUGAUUGACGUUACCCGCAGAAGAAGCACCGGCUAACUCCGUGCCAGCCGCCGCAGUAA